rnacentral:rRNA from 1 species
UGCCAACUGUAAGAGGAAGUAUAAUGUGACGCCUGCCCGGUGCUCGAAGGUUAAGAGGAUGCGUCAGUCGCAAGAUGAAGCGUUGAAUUGAAGCCCGAGUAAACGGCGGCCGUAACUAUAACGGUCCUAAGGUAGCGAAAUUCCUUGUCGGUUAAAUACCGACCUGCAUGAAUGGCGUAACGAGAUGGGAGCUGUCUCAACCAGAGAUUCAGUGAAAUUGUAGUGGAGGUGAAAAUUCCUCCUACCCGCGGCAAGACGGAAAGACCCCGUGGACCUUUACUACAACUUAGCACUGCUAAUGGGAAUAUCAUGCGCAGGAUAGGUGGAGGCUUUGAAGUAAGGGCUUUGGCUCUUAUGGAG